GUGCGUCUCACGCGACCGCUUCUCUUUCCUCCACUACUGUCCUGAGGUCAGUGAGAACAGCACAAACGCUGAAAACCCGUCCUAAAGGGGUGGUGCUCUGUACACACUCAAGUACAACUUGGGAGGGAAGUCUGGCUAAUUCGCUGAAGCUGUUGACGCUUUUAAACGGACUCCAUCGAGUGAACACAGGUGUCCGCAGGGGUCAAGGGUGACGACCCCUCCUCUGUUUUCAAUCCUGCAAUGUUCCGCUUCAAUGCCCGGACCCUCAAUAGUGAUGUCCUGAGGUACAGGGGCGUCAUCGCGACCUAUGCGUGUCACUCCUAGACAAUAAAGACACUCGUUUUGUAAGUAUGAGAUUUGUGAGUUUAAUUUCAACCAUUGCAGCAAUGCUUGGCAGCCUUAGACUUCUGUUUCAUGGAGAAAAGCAGGAUGAACAUUCUUCACUAUUCAUUUUCCCCCAUGGAAUAUGAGUUGGAGAGGUAUAAAGGUAGACAGGCGUGUUCCUGCAGGAAUGUCCCAGUAUUUUGCUUUGGAGAAUGGCUUAGGUAUGUCACCCCAGGAUCAAAAUACCAGCUACAUUCCUCUCUAGCACCUCUCCGUCCAAUCAGCUCGUAGGAUUACAGAUGUGGGCGACUGUGGGGCGAUAAGGGCAGGUUUGCUAUUUACACGCUGGAAGAUCUUUGUUCGCUGACCCUGACUAUGGCUUUAAUCAUCAAGACCUCUUGAUCCAGGUAAUGUUCAGGCAUGUUUAGACAGCUAACAAACAAGCCAGAUUGUUCAUAAAGACUGUGGGUUUUUUACACACAGGAAAGAAAUCAAACAGGGGAAGGAAGAGGGGGGUGAGUGUUAAUUUGAAAACAACAUUAAUUUUAUGAGCCACCGAGACAGGAUGAGAGAUAAGACACACACACAGAAGAAUAAUGAGACAUCAGAUCAAUGAUGGAGUGAGCAAGGCCAGAAUUUGACACAAAACGCUUUUUGAGACUUUGUGCUUUUGCGCAAGACACGAUGUGGGAGGACAUUCCUGAAAACUCAGCUGUAGCACACAUGGGACGAUCAAAGAGGCAUUGCACAUUUCAAAGUCUCACCCAGAGCUGCAGGACGGGUGGUGACGGCCACAUACAAGGUUAGCGUUUCGGCAGACGGGUGGGAGAUUUAAAAAGGGAAACGGUCUGUCAGCCUUCCCCUGUUUUCAUUCCUUUCCUCCAUCAGAUAUAACCAGAUCACUGGCAGAAACGCGCUCGCUUUCCAGGUCAUUUCCAAAUGCGUUUGCCGUGGGCUGAUCUUGGUUGUGAUGGCUGGGUUAAUCUUUCUGCCUUCCAUAUACGAGCUGUGACCAGAAUGGCAUUCUAGCUUACUAUUUAUUGUUAUCCGCUAUACAAGUAUUAAAACGUAAUAUUUAUUGUUAACAUCUGUUCCUUUAAUAUAAAUUCACAGUUAUGCCAUU
rnacentral:lncRNA from 1 species